GAGCCCCCCCCCCGGACCAGUGGCCAGGACCCGGGCAGUCUGAGCGCCGCUGAAAAUCUGCUCGCGUGCCAUCUUCAGCACGCGUGCCAUAGGUUGCCUACCUCUGAUCUAAGUGCUCAUCCUCCUGGUAUCUGGAAUCUGAGAUGAUGGCAGAGGAGACUUUGGAAGUGCUGGAAUGACCAAAUGAGGAACAGGGAAGGAACUCAGCAGCUGAUCCUGGAGGUUACAAAGACAGCUGGUGGCAUUUAAAAUCCUGCUCUCAUUUACAGCGAGGCGGAAAAUACAGCAUUGCUGUUGCCACUGAAAGGGGAAUUUGCCCCAUGUCUUAGACACAGACCAGAAUCAAAACCCUACAUCCAAAUAUCCCAGAACAUUGGGAAUGCCAUAUAUUGGAGCCAAACUUCACGGGUGAGCCCCAUGUGUCCACUGAAGUCAA